rfam:Chania multitudinisentens RB-25, complete genome.
GUUCACUGCCGCACAGGCAACUUAGAAA